UGAAUCUGUAAGUCCCUGUGUUGAACAGUAAAGACUGUUUUCUUCUGUUUCAGAGGCGCUGAAGAGAACAGACACAGAGCUACAGAAAGCAUGCUUGGUGGAGGCGGUGCGUAUCCUGGACGGUGUGUGUGUGGAGGAUGCAGGGUGUGUGUAUCGUGCGUUCCCGUGUGUUAAGUCACUGUUCGGCCGUCUGAACUCUGACCUGUCCUGCAGCAGAGUCCUCCUGCCCAUCGCUCAGUUCUACCUGAACCACGGGGAGACUGCAGCGGUGGACAGUGAGUGUGUGUGGAGGUGUGUGUUUGGUGUUCUCCCAGCAGAGUGUUUCAACGACCCCUAUCUGGCCCACGAGACGCUGUCCUUCAUCAGAGCCAAUCAGCUGCAGCUCCACUCCUCUGUACCACUGUACACACACUACUUCCUAGCCUGCUCAAGUUCCUAGCGUGGGACAGUCCAGGCCUGGUAUCUGACUAUGUGGAUGUGCUGCCCUCUCUGGUCACGGCUGGGACUGCAGUUGAGCUGCUGCACUCU